rnacentral:rRNA from 1 species
CCUACGGGUGGCAGCAGUGGGGAAUAUUGCGCAAUGGACGAAAGUCUGACGCAGCGACGCCGCGUGUGGGAGGAAGCCUUUCGGGGUGUAAACCACUGUCAGGGGGGAAGAACGCCGUCAUGUCUAAUAGGCGUGGCGGGUGACGGUACCCCCAGAGGAAGCACCGGCUAACUCCGUGCCAGCAGCCGCGGUAAGACGGAGGGUGCAAGCGUUGUUCGGAAUUACUGGGCGUAAAGGGCGGGCAGGUGGUCCGUUAAGUCGUCUGUGAAAAUCCGGGGCUCAACCCCGUGAAAUGCAGGCGAAACUGACGGACUAGAGACCAGUAGAGGCUAGCGGAAUUCCUGGUGUAGCGGUGGAAUGCGUAGAUAUCAGGAAGAACACCUGUGGCGAAGGCGGCUAGCUGGGCUGGAUCUGACACUCAUCCGCGAAAGCGUGGGGAG